rnacentral:lncRNA from 1 species
UCACCCUCAUGAUAGCCACCCGAAGUAGAUGAAUGACACACUUGUAGCACUUAUGUAAAUUCAGAUUCUCGAACACAUCUGCGUACACUACCAAUACCAUCAGGACCCUACUUGAAAAGAUACGGCUUAUCACAUAUAUAAGCACAAGAAUAAUGUUGCAAUUUCUUUCUUUGUUGAGUGAUUGCUUCGGAAGGAUAAACCUCACACACUAAGAAGUUCA